AAGAAAGGUUUGCAUCAUUAUCCUCUUGAUAAAUGAGCCCACAGACAAGCAGCUAUUUUCCAGAAGGAAUCCCGUUCUGUACAAAGGUGGUGAAGAGAAGGGUGAAGCAGAAAAGGUAUUCACAAAGUGUAUGGAAUUUCUAGCCCAUCAGGGAUAGUCAAAAUGAAUAGUCGAGGAGCAAGGCAUCAGCUGAAAUAUCUUGAGUGGUGUAUCUGCCAGGCAAGGCUGAAGUUACUCCACCAUAGACAAAGGAAUGUGGUUCUGCCAUCUGGAAGGCAUUUUCCCAGUACACAAAGAGACAAUGUGAAUGCAAAUUACACAGAAGGUAAACAGGACUAUCAAGACAGCAGCGGGGGAGAGGGGGAGACUGCAGGAAACAGAUCAAUCUGCAUUUUAGCAAACACCAGCAGGGGAAGAAGCAAGCAUGAAACUUCCUUCACCAAGAGACUCCAUGUCAACUUCCUCAAACCUUGAAUGAACUUUACUUUAAGGGCUAACCUACAGAAGAAUUCAUUUAAGAGGUUCACUGUACAAAGCAAGAGGCAAAUAACCCCAAGUUAUCUUUCACCUAAGAAGACAAAUGAACUGAGUACUUUGGACUUUGUGGAAGUUCCUAACCAAAUGGAUGCUCAGCCAUCUUGCUGUAAGGUGGAUUGGUAAGGAAACUACCUUGAACAAAGUCUGUAGCUUGUUGUGUUAAGCCUUAGCUUCUGGAAAGCAUUUUUCACUUUUAUUUGCUGGUAGCAAUUCCUAACUGUAUCCUUUAUAAACUCAAAAGCCUGUUUCAAUUUCAUUAAUAAACUUGUUUUACUUUUAAUCUAAACCAGCCUAAUGCUGUGUUUGAUUUGAAGUGAAUGUUAAAUCCAAUUAA